UCAGGAUGAACGCCGGCGGUGUGCCUAAUACAUGCAAGUCGUACGCACUGGCCCAACUGAUUGAUGGUGCUUGCACCUGAUUGACGAUGGAUCACCAGUGAGUGGCGGACGGGUGAGUAACACGUAGGUAACCUGCCCCGGAGCGGGGGAUAACAUUUGGAAACAGAUGCUAAUACCGCAUAACAACAAAAGCCACAUGGCUUUUGUUUGAAAGAUGGCUUUGGCUAUCACUCUGGGAUGGACCUGCGGUGCAUUAGCUAGUUGGUAAGGUAACGGCUUACCAAGGCGAUGAUGCAUAGCCGAGUUGAGAGACUGAUCGGCCACAAUGGAACUGAGACACGGUCCAUACUCCUACGGGAGGCAGCAGUAGGGAAUCUUCCACAAUGGGCGCAAGCCUGAUGGAGCAACACCGCGUGAGUGAAGAAGGGUUUCGGCUCGUAAAGCUCUGUUGUUGGAGAAGAACGUGCGUGAGAGUAACUGUUCACGCAGUGACGGUAUCCAACCAGAAAGUCACGGCUAACUACGUGCCAGCAGCCGCGGUAAUACGUAGGUGGCAAGCGUUAUCCGGAUUUAUUGGGCGUAAAGCGAGCGCAGGCGGUUGCUUAGGUCUGAUGUGAAAGCCUUCGGCUUAACCGAAGAAGUGCAUCGGAAACCGGGCGACUUGAGUGCAGAAGAGGACAGUGGAACUCCAUGUGUAGCGGUGGAAUGCGUAGAUAUAUGGAAGAACACCAGUGGCGAAGGCGGCUGUCUGGUCUGCAACUGACGCUGAGGCUCGAAAGCAUGGGUAGCGAACAGGAUUAGAUACCCUGGUAGUCCAUGCCGUAAACGAUGAGUGCUAGGUGUUGGAGGGUUUCCGCCCUUCAGUGCCGGAGCUAACGCAUUAAGCACUCCGCCUGGGGAGUACGACCGCAAGGUUGAAACUCAAAGGAAUUGACGGGGGCCCGCACAAGCGGUGGAGCAUGUGGUUUAAUUCGAAGCUACGCGAAGAACCUUACCAGGUCUUGACAUCUUGCGCUAACCUUAGAGAUAAGGCGUUCCCUUCGGGGACGCAAUGACAGGUGGUGCAUGGUCGUCGUCAGCUCGUGUCGUGAGAUGUUGGGUUAAGUCCCGCAACGAGCGCAACCCUUGUUACUAGUUGCCAGCAUUAAGUUGGGCACUCUAGUGAGACUGCCGGUGACAAACCGGAGGAAGGUGGGGACGACGUCAGAUCAUCAUGCCCCUUAUGACCUGGGCUACACACGUGCUACAAUGGACGGUACAACGAGUCGCAAGCUCGCGAGAGUAAGCUAAUCUCUUAAAGCCGUUCUCAGUUCGGACUGUAGGCUGCAACUCGCCUACACGAAGUCGGAAUCGCUAGUAAUCGCGGAUCAGCAUGCCGCGG
rnacentral:rRNA from 1 species